UUUCAGAAUUGAGGAUAGAUGAAACCAGAUGAUUUGUGGCCUUCUUGUUGUUAGCAUUCAUCGAUAUGUAAUUCCGUCUUAUUCUACUUCAUUCUGUCUAAUGUAAUUGUGUAUCAAAACAGUGUUUAAUAGUCAGUGUUCAGUUUUAAUUUCUGCAUUGGAUAAUAGGCAAAUGCCUCUUGACAAUGCAUCUGUAUUAAUAGUAUAUA